rnacentral:tRNA from 1 species
GGGGGAAGACCAAACCCGCAAGAACUGCUAAUUCAUGCUUCCGAGCUUUAAACCUCGGCCCCCUU